rnacentral:rRNA from 1 species
GUAGUCUGCAACCCGGCUACAUGAAGCUGGAAUCGCUAGUAAUCGCGGAUCAGAAUGCCGCGGUGAAUACGUUCCCGGGUCUUGUACACACCGCCCGUCACACCAUGGGAGCCGGAAAUGCCCGAAGUCAGUGACCCAACCGCAAGGAGGGAGCUGCCGAAGGUGGAGCUGGUAACUGGGGUGAAGUCGUAACAAGGUACC